rnacentral:lncRNA from 1 species
UUCCACAGGGUGGACACUUCCAUUGUCCCCAUUUUGCAGAUGAGGAAACAAGGAAUGAAGUCAGCCAGGAAGGCUGUGGGCACAGCACCUGACACGUGGCGAGAGCCCUGUAAAUAUCACUUUCCUUAUCAUUGCAUCUCCGAAAAGUUGAGUAACUUGUCCAGUGCCACGCCAGGAGAAGGAAGAGAAGCAGGACAGAUGCCAGGGCCACCUGUCUCCAAGUCCAUGAGUCCCCUGGCUGGGGCUGAAGGAAGAAGAGUUAGACCUGGAAAGGAUAGAGAUGAAAAAGCAAGCUAGACAUCCCUGAGCACCCACUAUGUGCCAUGAAUCCUGUUUCCCUGCUGGGUCCCCAACCCUCUUCAGCAGGAAGACGACAGAGAGGUCACAGGCUUCAGGGAAGACAAUGCAUAUCUGGAUCCUCAAUCCUGUG